UUUGAGUUUGAUCCUGGCUCAGGACGAACGCUGGCGGCGUGCUUAACACAUGCAAGUCGAACGAUGAAGAGGAGCUUGCUCCUUGGAUUAGUGGCGAACGGGUGAGUAACACGUGAGCAAUCUGCCCUUGACUCUGGGAUAAGCGUUGGAAACGACGUCUAAUACCGGAUACGACCCUCGGAGGCAUCUCCUGGGGGUGGAAAGAAUUUUGGUCAAGGAUGAGCUCGCGGCCUAUCAGCUUGUUGGUGAGGUAAUGGCUCACCAAGGCGACGACGGGUAGCCGGCCUGAGAGGGUGACCGGCCACACUGGGACUGAGACACGGCCCAGACUCCUACGGGAGGCAGCAGUGGGGAAUAUUGCACAAUGGGCGAAAGCCUGAUGCAGCAACGCCGCGUGAGGGACGACGGCCUUCGGGUUGUAAACCUCUUUUAGUAGGGAAGAAGCGAAAGUGACGGUACCUGCAGAAAAAGCACCGGCUAACUACGUGCCAGCAGCCGCGGUAAUACGUAGGGUGCAAGCGUUGUCCGGAAUUAUUGGGCGUAAAGAGCUCGUAGGCGGUUUGUCGCGUCUGCUGUGAAAACCCGAGGCUCAACCUCGGGCCUGCAGUGGGUACGGGCAGACUAGAGUGCGGUAGGGGAGAUUGGAAUUCCUGGUGUAGCGGUGGAAUGCGCAGAUAUCAGGAGGAACACCGAUGGCGAAGGCAGAUCUCUGGGCCGUAACUGACGCUGAGGAGCGAAAGCAUGGGGAGCGAACAGGAUUAGAUACCCUGGUAGUCCAUGCCGUAAACGUUGGGAACUAGAUGUGGGGACCAUUCCACGGUCUCCGUGUCGCAGCUAACGCAUUAAGUUCCCCGCCUGGGGAGUACGGCCGCAAGGCUAAAACUCAAAGGAAUUGACGGGGGCCCGCACAAGCGGCGGAGCAUGCGGAUUAAUUCGAUGCAACGCGAAGAAC
rnacentral:rRNA from 1 species